rnacentral:lncRNA from 1 species
UUUCUUUUCAAAGAGUUUUUUAUUUUUUGUUGUUUAUUGAGGUUGACAUCAACUUAAAGACAAUGAAGUUUUCUCAAAAGUUAAAUGCUUGGUUUGAAAUAUUUAAAAAAAAAAGUUCACAUUCAGAAAAAAACAUUAGUUUAAAAAUGUUAUUUUUAUUUAACAGUUACUACAUCCCUUUAAAAUGAAAACAAAAUAAGAAUUUAAGAAAUUGAUUCUCUCUGACUUCUUGUAUUUAUUGAUUCCCUUGUUGUUAUUACUAUAUUUUACAUUUUCAUUUAUGUGGAAUGUGUCUUUUCAGCCAGUUCAAGCAUAUUCAAAUAGAGUUUGAAUAAGCUUCUAAAAAACUGGAGUGGCAAUAGAGAAACCCACGAUAUUUUGUUAGAAAAAAAUUGUAUUCACAUGUCUCCUUAUAUUUGCUAUUAUCUCCUUUUGUUUUCUAUUUACAUAAUGGGUUUGGAUGUAAGAGAUAAGACUGUUAUGAACAUGUGAAAUUGUUUUAGCUUGAAGAUCUAUCUGCUCAUCUUGCUGUAAACAGAUUACUGUUGUUGAUUUCUGUGCUGUUCAAGUGAGUCUGAUUGAUAGCGAUAACACCAUGUUUGAAGGCUUCUGGGAACUUUUAUAGUCAGAUCUCUAGUUCACUCAUUUGACAAAAAGUAACAAAGCCUAAACUCUUUUGUUGAUAUGCUUAUAUCAGUUACGUUACCAACUAGCUUCCUAAACAGUUCAUUCAUCUUUUGAAUAGUUAGUGAUGGGCCAAAAGAAAAUAGUUACCUUUUCCCAAAUGUUGGAUAAACCUAGAACACCAUCAAAAAUUUGAUUUCUGUUAGAAUAAAGGCAAACCAGUCUGAAACAACCUGGUGCAGUGAUUGGAUUCAUCUCCAUCAUUCACGAUUAGCAGAAUGAGCAGCUCUGUAGCCCCCAACAGGUAUUUUUGUAGUUACUCCAGUAGGAUCAAAUUAUAAGAGGUUUGAAGGAUAAUAAGGUAGUAAAUUUGGUUCUUUUUCUUCCAACUUUGUGUGUUAGGUAGCAUAAGAAAGAUUUAAUAAAACAUUAUAGGAAUAUCUAAUUCAAGGACAAUAGAGUCACACUGGAAAAUAAGCGAGAAGAAUGAUGGGUGGACUCUUGGCAGACAGUAAUGUAAUUGCUGAACAGUUUGGCCUGGGAAUAGUAUUACAUGUGGUCAGAGGAAAAAUGGUGGAAAUGUGACACCUUGUAACUGUAUGAGUGAAAAACAUAUACAGGGCUAUCAACUGGUGGAUAUUACCCGAUGACGUUCAAUAUGUGGAUUUUCUUGAUUUAGGUGCUUGUUUUAUUCCCCCCUUUUUUUUUUUUUAAGUCUAUUUAGACAGUUCAUAUGAUUAACCUUUUCCCUGAAGGCCCUAUGAAAUAUUAUUUUUGUUAUUAACAUAACAUCUUGUAC